rnacentral:rRNA from 1 species
GCGGAGUGCCUUAGGCAUGCAAGUCGACCGGGUCUCGAUAGCAAUAUCGGGAUCAGGGGCGGACGGGUGAGUAAUAGAAGGGAAUCUACCUUAAAGUGGGGAAUACCUCUCCGAAAGGAGAGCUAAUACCGCAUGUUUUCGCAAGAACAAAGGGCUUAACUGCCCGCUUUAAGAUGAGCCCUUCUCCUAUCAGCUAGUUGGUGAGGUAAUGGCUUACCAAGGCUUUGACGGGUAGCUGGUCUGAGAGGAUGGUCAGCCACAAUGGGACUGUGACACGGCCCAUACACCUACGGGUGGCAGCAACCGGGAAUAUUGCGCAAUGGACGAAAGUCUGACGCAGCCAUGCCGCGUGGAUGAUGAAGGUCUUAGGAUUGUAAAAUCCUUUCACCGGUGAAGAUAAUGACUGUAGCCGGAGAAGAAGCCCCGGCUAACUUCGUGCCAGCCGCCGCCGUAA